ACAGCUGUAGCUGCUUUGUAUGUCCCACUGUACGUCUAUCCGUCUGUAUGUCUAUCCGUCUGUAUGUCUAUCCGUCUGUAUGUCUCCCUGUCUGUCUGUCGGUCUGAGUGUGCCAAUAAAUUGACUUGUGCACAUGGCUAAAAAGAGAGAUCGUCACGUGCUGUUCGUCUCUUGAGUCUGCCGAUCGCAGCGAGAGAGAAUUACACAGGUAAAACUGCGAGAGGAGAGGAAUGAGCAGGGAGAGAGAAGGUAUGUGAAGUGGUAUGUCGCGUGGUAUGCUUAAGCUGAUUCGCUGUUGGUACAGCACCGUCUGCUGAGGUUGCACUUCAUUGAGGCCCACAAUUCACGAGUAAUUCACAAUCACAUUCCCGAGUGGGCGUUGUAUGUGUGUGUAAGCGAGUGUCUGUAUAUAUUUGUGUGUGUGUGUGUGUGUGUGUGUGUACUGUGUACUGCCACAACAAGAUUUUGACACAGUGUUUUAUAAAUAAACGCGCCCCACAUAAACGACAGAGUGAGAGUGUGAGAGACAAAGUAAAGAGAGAGAGAGAGAGAGAGAAAGAGUAAGAGCAUGCUAUUGACAUUGAUAAGAGAGCAGUUUGUCAGUAAUAAAGAAGAGAGAGAGAGAAUAA